UUAGGAAUCUUCCACAAUGGGCGAAAGCCUGAUGGAGCGACGCCGCGUGAGGGAUGAAGGCCUUAGGGUUGUAAACCUCUAAAAGAGGGACGAUAAUGACGGUACCUCUUGAAUAGCACCGGCUAACUCCGUGCCAGCAGCCGCGGUAAUACGGAGGGUGCAAGCGUUAUCCGGAAUCACUGGGCGUAAAGGGCGCGUAGGCGGUCUGUUAAGUCCGAUGUUAAAUCCCGGGGCUCAACCCCGGAUAAGCGUUGGAUACUGGCAGGCUAGACGGUUGGAGAGGCGAGUGCAAUUACCAGUGUUGCGGUGGAAUGCGUAGAUACUGGUAGGAACACCCAUUGCGAAGGCAGCUCGCUGGACAACACGUGACGCUGAGGCGCGAAAGUGUGGGGAGCAAACC
rnacentral:rRNA from 1 species